AAUAGUCGUGUCCACUUCGGCGAAAAUACAGAGUGCACCGACCAAUAGGUGUAUUUGGGUCGGUGGAAUACCAGAUACUAAAUUAUAUAUUUUUUCAUUAAACUAAACCGCUAAAAUGUAGCGUUAUUAACAUUUUGCAGCCUAAAUAUCAAUAUAAAUAGACUGCUAGACUUGGGAUAAUAACAUAUAUAUAUCACUAACAAAAUAAGCUUGUUAACUUUACUGUCGUCACCAAUAAAUGUUCUGGCAAUCAAUUACAACUCUAAAUACUGAAUAAUCAAUAUGUGCCGCAAUGACAAUCCCGAAACAUAAAGCUCAUUAUGUGCUUCGUUUUUGUUGGAAAUAAGAUAUCAGAUUGAUUUUCGAAAAACAUAUGGAACUGAAUACUUAAAAAAAUUAUAGUAUCAGUAUUAUUUGUCCUACAAAAAUCAAGCUGAACACUUACAGUUGACUUUCUUUAAUUAAAACGUAGAUAUUUAGGUACUUAAUUAUUCAAGUACAUGUAAUAGAAAAUUCACAAAUAUUUUGAAAAUUAUAAUUGGUCACUCGGUUUGCAGGUAAAAAAAAAACCAAUUAUAAAUAAUAAUUAAUAAACUGUACAUGUGUUAGUAUUAUUUAUUCUUUUCGUUUAUAAAAUAAUUUGGCUAAAUGAUAAUACUAAUUGCCUAGCAAAUUUAUAUUUGUUUAAAUGUGUUAACGUUUUUAAGUUGAAUUUCAUGUGCAACAAUAAGUAUUAAAAUUGCCACUACUCAGUUAGACCGUCGAACUAAAUGAGUAUACAUAAAUGGUGCUCAUAUCCUGGAUAUCUUGCCACGAUACUUGAUCCAACUAAGCCACGUUACCACUGUGCAGUGAACGCCCUGUGCUGGGUUUUUUUAUUACAAACUUCCUGAAGUACUUUCGUUGUUGAAUAAACUUGGCUCUUGUUCAUCUUCUUCGCCGUCAUCCACGCAUGAAGAUAAUUUAUCAAUAGCAAAAUAGGCUUUGAAAAAAUCAUUUUUCUCCCACGGAGAUGACAAUUUAUCUGUAUUAUUCUUUAUCGCCACCGGCGAUUGUGAUAAUUUAACAUGACGUCCUUCGACUAAACGACGAACUGCCUAUCUCUUCAACUCCCUUCGAGUUUUAUUUUGACGGGAAAUUGAUUUUGUUACUUGUUUGUAAAGUGAUACUAAGACCUCAUCGCUCUGAUCAAUCAUUUCGCUAUCAGUUGAAUCAUCGGACCAUUGGUCAUCAUCUUCAUCGAUAUAUAAACUUUCUGAAGUACUUUCGUUGUUGAAUAAACUUGGCUCUCGUUUAUUUUUUUCAUUGAAAAAAUCUUCGUCGUCAUCCAGGCCUGAAGUUAAAUCAUCAAUUGCUAUCAACAAGUUAAGUAACAAAACCGAUUGUCCGACAAAAUGAAACCUGGUGAAAGUUAAAGAGAUCGGCAAUUCAUCGUUUAGUCGGAAGACGUCAUGAUAAAUUUUUACAAUCGCUGGUGGCAAUAAAGAAUAAUACAGAUAAAUUGUCAUCUCCUUGCGAGAAAAGUGAUCUUUUCAAAACAUAUUGUGUUUUUGUUGUUUUAUCUUCAGGCGUGGAUGACGACGAAGAAAAUUAACGAGAACGAAAUUUAUUCAUUAACAAAAGUGUUUCAGAAAGUCUAAGGGAAAAAAUGGUAAUGAAUGCAAAAGAAGCGACUGCUACAGAUGAAAAACCGGCUUUGAAAGAAGUGUUAUUUAGGAUAGUUAAUAUGGCCGAGUGUUUCAUGGUUGAUUCAAGUCCUAAAAAAAGUCAAUACUAGUAAAAUUUUAAUGCAGCGUUCGAGUACUUGCUUAAUUUGUGGAUAGCUACUCCGGACAAAAAUAUUCAAACUUUAACGACACUAAAAACCUAUUAAGUGGAUUUUAUCAAAAAAGCUGUCGAACAAUGACUAAUGCCAAAUCGAUUAUUUUAACCUAUCAUUUAAACGUUUUUUAAUAUUUUUAAUUUCUAUUGAUUUUAACGAAUUAUAUAUCAAAUAUUGAAGCUAAAUUAUAGAAUUUGUUUAAUAUUAUUUAUUAUAAAGUCAAAUAUGUAUAGAUUUAUUUUAAUGAUUUUACUUGUGCGAAGAAAUCAUCAGAAAGAAUCUUAAACUUAUUCCUAAAAAAUAUAUACUGAUGUACAAAGUUUCCCUGAGUUAAACAAUAAAAUAUUUUAUUUGAAAUUGUUAUGUUCGAGACAUCUAGACCGUAUAACGGCUAGUUGUGCAUCGCACUAGAAUUCCGUUUUACCUUAGGCCUGUUUAAAUCGCUAUUAUUAAAGCAUGAGUGGGUCACCUGGGGGAUGACGGUUAACGGUACAUCCAAUAAGUAACGAGAAUAGACAAUAAAUAAAUAACCACUAAUAUUAGAAAUUCUUCAGAGAGUAUCUUAAAUUUAAGGGGUAACGGUGGCCCUUAAAUACUAAUGGCCGACGAAGCUGCAUAAAACAAAAUAGUUAAUCUCAAUUAAAGCAAACAAUAAAUAACAUCAAAAAAUAAUAUGAAACUCAGUUGAAUAGAUGAAGUUGUUGAUAGUGAUGAGUGGACUGUAUGAGAUCUUGUGGUAAUGGUGUCGAACAUCUGAGUAUGAGGAGUCAGGGUUUAGAUCUAGGCACGUAAUAGUAGAUGAAAAAAGACGGCGUAAAAGCGACAACGGCAAUGAAAUUGUUUAGUUUUGGUCAGGAGCCAAUUACUAAUGUCAUGCAAGGGCACGAAAACUUAGAUCACAAAGCUGUAAUAAAUAAAUGAAAAAAUAACGGUGUACUAUGGCCGAACAAUAUCCAAUUCAAACGAAGGCGCUUGCUACAGAAAAAAAUAACACAUAAUAAAAUGAGUAAAGCAACACGUUGGACAUCAGAUGUCACACGAUAUAAUAUAAUCAACGAUGUUUCUAACAACUUGUCUACUAGAUCUUUGCUAAAGGCUUUCUGUACCAAACGAUAUAUAUAUAUAUAUAAAAUCCAGUUUGCUGGACACCCUUUUUCAAUUAAUUUUUUUAAUUAGGAUAGUUUUUCAUUUGAGAAACAACAAGUGAUUUAAAAUUUGGCUGUUUUUUUGUUAAAAUAAUUUUUUUGUGACUAUAUAACUAACAAAAACCUUAAUCAUAUAUCGAGUAUUGCGAUAUUAUAACAUUAG